rnacentral:rRNA from 1 species
AACCAAAGGGUGGGACUUUUAGCCACGCGCCAUUUGAUGAACCCAUAUGGGAUUAGCUAGUUGGUAAGGUAAUGGCUUACCAAGGCGACGAUCUCUAGCUGGUCUGAGAGGAUGACCAGCCACACUGGAACUGAGACACGGUCCAGACUCCUAUGGGAGGCAGCAGUGGGGGAUAUUGCACAAUGGGGGAAACCCUGAUGCAGCCAUGCCGCGUGUAUGAAGAAGGCUUUCGGGUUGUAAAGUACUUUCGGUAAUGAGGAAGGGGUAUUAUCUAAUAGGUAAUACCAUUGACGUUAGUUACAGAAGAAGCACCGGCUAACUCCGUGCCAGCAGCCGCGGUAAUACGGAGGGUGCGAGCGUUAAUCGGAAUAACUGGGCGUAAAGGGCAUGCAGGCGGGUCAUUAAGUUAGGUGUGAAAUCCCCGGGCUUAACCUGGGAACUGCACUUAAAACUGGUGGUCUGGAGUAUUGUAGAGGAAGGUAGAAUUCCACGUGUAGCGGUGAAAUGCGUAGAGAUGUGGAGGAAUACCGGUGGCGAAGGCGGCCUUCUGGACAAAUACUGACGCUGAGAUGCGAAAGCGUGGGGAGCAAACAGGAUUAGAUACCCUGGUAGUCCACGCUGUAAACGAUGUCGAUUUGGAGUUUGGUGGCAUGACUGCUGAGCUUCGAAGCUAACGCGUUAAAUCGACCGCCUGGGGAGUACGGCCGCAAGGUUAAAACUCAAAGG